UUGUCCUAUCCUUGGCCCGACAUUACUAAAGUUGAAACGAUACAAAGAAAAUUAACACGACUUUUGCACAAGGAUAACGCUCAAAUUCGUGAAUUGCUCCACUUUUCU